rnacentral:misc_RNA from 1 species
CCGAGUACUGGGGCCUCAGCCCCUGCUCCCACACUUUGUGAACCUUUACCCACCGUUGCUUUGGCGGGACGGUGGCAUCGCCGCCGCCGGCCUCUGGCUGGAGAGCGCCCGCCGGGGGACCUUUAAACUCUGCUCUCAACUGUAAGGAGUCUGAGUGUUGGAUAAUUGAAUCA